UGUUCACUGCACGGACGGCCAGGAUGGGGGACUCAAAAUCCCCCGCCGCAAGGCGUGCCGGUUCGAUUCCGGCCCGGGGCACCA
rnacentral:tRNA from 1 species